GAUGAACGCUGGCGGCGUGCCUAAUACAUGCAAGUCGAGCGAACAGACGAGGAGCUUGCUCCUCUGACGUUAGCGGCGGACGGGUGAGUAACACGUGGAUAACCUACCUAUAAGACUGGGAUAACUUCGGGAAACCGGAGCUAAUACCGGAUAAUAUAUUGAACCGCAUGGUUCAAUAGUGAAAGACGGUUUUGCUGUCACUUAUAGAUGGAUCCGCGCCGCAUUAGCUAGUUGGUAAGGUAACGGCUUACCAAGGCAACGAUGCGUAGCCGACCUGAGAGGGUGAUCGGCGACACUGGAACUGAGACACGGUCCAGACGCCUACGGGAGGCAGCAGUAGGGAAUCUUCCGCAAUGGGCGAAAGCCUGACGGAGCAACGCCGCGUGAGUGAUGAAGGUCUUCGGAUCGUAAAACUCUGUUAUUAGGGAAGAACAAAUGUGUAAGUAACUAUGCACGUCUUGACGGUACCUAAUCAGAAAGCCACGGCUAACUACGUG
rnacentral:rRNA from 1 species